GGAGUCUGGACCGUGUCUCAGUUCCAAUGUGACCGUUCAUCCUCUCAGACCGGUUACCGAUCGUCGGCUUGGUAAGCCGUUACCUUACCAACUACCUAAUCGGACGCAGGCUCCUCGCAAAGCGAUAAAUCUUUAAUAUAAAUACCAUGCGGCACCUAUAUAACAUUCGGUAUUAGCACCCCUUUCGGGAUGUUGUCCCCGUCUGAAGGGCAGGUUGCCUACGCGUUACUCACCCGUUCGCCACUAGGGUUCUACCGAAGCAAAACCCCCGUUCGACUUGCAUGUGUUAGGCACGCCGCCAGCGUUGUCCUCGAGCCAUGAUCAAACUCU
rnacentral:rRNA from 1 species